GACGAACCGUGCGAACGUUGUUCGGAAUCACUGGGCUUAAAGGGCGCGUAGGCGGGCGGCCAAGUCGGAGGUGAAAGCCUGCAGCUCAACUGCAGAAGUGCCCCCGAUACUGGUUGUCUCGAGGGAGGUAGGGGCAUGUGGAACUUCCGGUGGAGCGGUGAAAUGCGUAGAUAUCGUUUGGAACGCCAAUGGUGAAAACAGGUAACUGGGGAUAUGCUGACACUGAGACACGAAAGCCAGGGGAGCAAACGGG
rnacentral:rRNA from 1 species